rnacentral:rRNA from 1 species
GACGAACGCUGGCGGCGUGCUUAACACAUGCAAGUCGAACGGAAAGUCCUUGCUCUUGUGGCGUGCUCGAGUGUCGAACGGGUGAGUAACCCGUUAGUAACCUGCCCUCGACUUUGGGCUAUCUUCAGUACACUGUGGCUAAUACCGGAUAGGAGCUCCUGCUCCAUGGUGGGGGUUGGAAAGUUUCGGCGGUUGGGGAUGGACUCGCGGCUUAUCAGCUUGUUGGUGGGGUAGUGGCUUACCAAGGAUUUGACGGGUAGCCGGCGUGAGCGGGUGACCGGCCACAUUGGGACUGAGAUAAGGCGCAGAAGACUACGGGAGGAAGCAGUGGGGAAGAAUGCACAAUGAGCGGAGAAAGGAUGCAGGAGCAACGCGGGGGGGAUGAAGGACUUCGGGGUGUAAAGCGCUUUCGCCUGUGAAGAAGAGAGAGUGACGGUAAUGGGUAAAGAAGCACCGGCUAACUACGUG